rnacentral:rRNA from 1 species
GCAGGCUGCAACUCGCCUGCAUGAAGUCGGAAUUGCUAGUAAUCGCAGAUCAGCAUGCUGCGGUGAAUACGUUCCCGGGCCUUGUACACACCGCCCGUCACACCAUGGGAGUCGGUAACACCCGAAGUCGGUAGCCUAACCGUAAGGAGGGCGCCGCCAAGGUGGGAUUGAUGACUGGGGUGAAGUCGUAACAAGGUAAC